rnacentral:lncRNA from 1 species
GGUAACGGAUUAAGCUUUACUGGACCACGCUCUCACAUUUUGGUCGGUGUUUUUCUUUUGCGUUUGUUUUCGCACCGGAAAUUAACAAAGCCGAAAUCAUAUUUACCCAAAAGAAUAUUACUACCUGUAUAAUAUGUAUAAUAUUAAUACUAGAUUUUGAUCCAGGCUUUCAAAACGCAUAAUUUUUUGUUGUUGAAUUAACCCAUCUGGUUUUUCUCUAAUAUGUUUAUACAUAGAUGUUUGAUGUUCAGUUCAGUUCAAUCUCGAUUUUGGUUUAGUUCUAGUUUGGUUGUGGUUAUCUGUUUCUCUAGUUCAAGAGAUAUAAAAACUGUUUAGUUAUUUUUGAAUGUGGGUUUGAUUUCAAUUUGGUUAUUUUGGCUUUCAGUUUGGUUUGAACAACAAUGUUAGAAACCCAAUAAAUUUUUUAGUUCAGUUCUUAUGAAAAAUGCAGGUAAAAAAAACUCUUUUUUAAAAAAGUUUUUUUUAUAAAAUAUCAGAUAAUUUGGAUAAAUUUAAAUAUUUUGAAAUAUAACAUUUGGGUGAUUUGUGUUAAUAGAGAAUUUAGGCUAAUUUUGAAUAUUCUUGAAUACCAAAUAAAAAUCAUUUAAAUCUCUAACAAAUCAAUUGUUAUAUUAGGUGAAAAUUACUAAUGAAAUAAUCUAAAUCUAGAUUUUGACCAGCACGUCCGUGCAGAUAUUUUAUUCAGUUAUAGAUGUUUAAAUAAGGGUGGAACAUAUCAGAUUUGGAUUCGACGGAUCCGUAGAUUAGUAUCUAGAUUAUUCGGAAAAAUAAUUAAAAAAAUUAAAAUACUAAUUUUUUUUAAAAAAUACAUACAUUAAAUAUUUAUACAACAUUAUCAAUAUAUAUUUAUAAGUAUAUAAUAUUAGAAAUUGAAAUAUAAUUUUAUAAAAAUAAUUUUAUGUAUAAAUAAAAUAUAUCAAAUAUAAUGAUUAGUAAAAUUUCAAAAUUAAUAUAUUUUAAAAUACGGAUCUUGAUCCGUAUAUCCAGAUCUAAAAAUCAAGAUACUCAUAUUCAGAUUCAGUUUUGGCGGAUCCAAGAUUUUACUAUUCGAAUCUGAAUUCAGACACCUCUGGUAUCAUAUUUUCAGAGUGGAUCUAAGAUCGAAUCCGACCUUAGAUAAUAAGUCUCAUGCCUAGUUUAAAACAUUUUAGAAAGGCCUAUUUUUAGGUUUUUAACAUUUUAGAAUGACCUCAACUUGUUUUUUCAUAUUUAGCUACUAAAUUUAUCUUUUAAUGAGAUUUUAAUAUCCAUAUCCGGAUUCAGAUGUUCCAGAUAUCCUAUUUUCAAAACGGAUCUCAGAUCGAGUCCAAAUUCUGAAUAAUAAGUCUCCUGUAUUGUUUUAAACAUUUUAGAAUGAUUCUAUUUUUAUGUUUUUAACAUUUUAGAACGACCUCAACUAGUUUGUUCAUGUUUAGCUACUGAAUUUAUUUUUUAAUGAAAUUGUUUUUUUCUACGACUGUGUGUUAAGUAAUCAUUUUAUUUUGUCAAAUAUUCUCUAUGUUUCAUAAUAAGUGUCAUUAUAACAUUUUUUAUUGUUAUGCAAAAAGUGUCACUUUAGAAUUUCAAUGUAAAUAAAUAUAUUUACUUUCAGCUGAAAAUUAAUUGCAAACUGCAUUGAUUUUAUAAAUAAUUUUAUUUAACUCAAAUAUUAUUGGUCAAAUGUGUGUAAUUAAUAACAAUUUUAAUACAUUUCAAUCAAUUUUUUAAUCUGUGUGAAAAAUGUCAAAGUGACACUUAUUAAAAAACGAAGGGAAUAUAACAAUAAAAUGCAGCAUAUUUGAGUUUUAAAUUACCUUUUAUUAUAUUAAAUCUAGAUAUGGUUAUUUAAAUUUGAAAUUUAUAUAUAAAGAUCAAAUUUUAUUUUUAUUAUAUUCGAAAUUAUUUUAUUAAAAAUUUUAUAUAUGAUUUAAAACAAUAUUAUUUGUUGGUAUAUGUUUUGAUAGAUUAUAUUUAUGUAUACAUUUGUUGCCAAUUUAGAUAGUUUGUGUGUGUAUGAAUGUGAUAAAAUUGUAAUAAUACAUAAAUAAAUUUUAGAAUUGUUUUGAUAAUUAGUCACCCCAACAAAAGAGAUAUUGUCGUAUAUGAUAAUAUACAUAUGAUGUCGGUUAAAAUUUUAAAACAAUCUCUCUUCACUCUCUGUUCUCUCUCUAGUAUCUCUCACAGAGAGGAAGAGAAGAGAUGAUAUCCCUUUUGUUUUUUGGUUUAUGAUCAUUAGAUCAGAGUUAUGUUCGGCUUGUCCGAGUAAAUAUUCCGGUUAGCGGAUUUCUUGUUUUCGCUAUGGCGAUUUUGUUGUGUUCUUCGAUCCGCAACAGAGUUGCUUCAAUUCGUCUUUUUUUUUCUCUGUUUUGUUGGAUCGAUUAAUAAAAUUUCGAGUCAGAGUUUCACUUCUCACUUCGUUCUUAAUUCUAUCCCGUAAAUACCAUCUCAGACACUUGCUUCACUGUCACUUUAACUGUUUUUUAGGAGAAUCAAUCUUCACUUUGUCUUUGCCAUCUAUGGUGUAUUGUGAAGCUUCUUCGAUUGAAAGAAAGUUAGGUAAGAUGGAAUUUUUUGGUCAUCUUUGGAGUAGAUUCAGCAGAGCCGGUGUUAUUUGUAACGGUCCGGCAUAGAGUCUUCCUUCAAUUUCGACUGAAGCUUCCUCAAGCUCAAUCUGGUGAAGCAAACUCCCUCUGCUUUGGUAGUUUACGGUUUAAGUGGAAAGUAUCUCAGGAUUUACAAGCAUAGAUCAUUGAACCGGCGGUGGUAGCUUGUUCUGAUGAGAACUUACGGCGGCGCACUAACACUGGAUCCUCAUCUUGGGCGGAGGCGUGUUACGAAAUUGGAGACGUGGCGAGUUUCUGACCUAGGACACUCAUGCAAGAGCGUUUGAUUACGCGUGUCUCUUAUUGCUUCUGCAGUCAACGCACGUUCCUUAAUACGACACUUUCUCGAAGAUAUUGAUCCAAAUCAAUAUAAUGGAUUGGGGAUUUGAGCUUUAAUUUUAAUUCGAGAUUGUAAAUGAUGGGGAUUGGUUUUAUGAUGUAUUGCUUGUAACUUUGUCCAUUGGGCCAAAGAAAUGAAAUCUAAAGUCGACAAAAAAAAAAAACAUAUGAUGUCGUUUGUAGGAAUUUGGACCCAUCAUUAAAGCCCACCAAAAUGAUUGCCGUUAACUAUAAUGUCCUAAUUUUAUUACCUUCGCCAGUUCGCUGGUUUUAUAAAUUUUAAAACGACAUUUUACAACCCAGUAGCAGUUUAUAGUAAAUAUUUAGAAAAAGACAAGGUAAAAUUUGUUUCGUACUUCUGUUUUAAUAGUUUAGAUUAAAUGUAUUUUUUAUAUAACUCAAAUCAAUCAAUAUAUAAUAUCACAUGAUAUCUUUUGGAAGUGGAGUUGAGUUGUUUUCCCAUAUGUGCCUUUAACAUCAGAGAGCUUACGCAAAUCAUCAAACUUGAGGAUUUUUGUGUCACCACAUAUGGUUCCUACAAUCAAAACUUUCUUGAUGGUUCAAUGACAUAAAUUUCAUAAGACCAAAAUCCAUAAUAAGAUGCUAUGAAACCGAAGUCUAACUACCUCUUGAUCGCUUUCAUCCUCUUUCUUAGAUGUUCCAGUUCCACAAAGCCAUUCAACAGAUUUUUUUUAUUUAUAUCCCUCCCUUACUUAAAAACUGUCGUUUUUGAUUCUUGAUGAUAUUUUCUCUGAUCGAUGGGAUUGUCUUAGAGAAAAAGGAUCUUUAAUGAUGUUUAGGCCAUAAGUUUUAUGCCAUGACUGCAACAUUUUCUUCGGAAGAACUAUUUCAGAUAUAUUCCAAUAGAUUAACGGAAAAGAGAGCGAGGUGAAGAGGGCAGAAGAAAAAGGGUUGUGAUGUAUAAUUAGGGUAUUGUUAGUUUUAAAUGUUUAGUUUUUUUUUUUUUUUUUUUUUUUUUUUUUUUUUAAAAAAGAAAUAAACAUACCUCAAUAAUUAGAUCAAAUCUUGUACUCGUGUACACGCAACCACUUUGUGGAUGACCACUUGUUCCCUUUGAUUACAGCACAUCCACCUGCACAAAGUGGAUCAAAUAACUAAUAUCAUAAAAUCCACUGUAGGACAAACACAGCUCCCAAUCCAUCUAAAACUUAUCUAUAUCUACUGACCGUGAAGACUAGAUGGGUCUAGAGUGGCGUCAGGUGUCAUGCUCCAGAAAAGCAAUGCAUCUCCCAUCUUUGGUUUCACGGACAGCCCUCCUUUCCCGCACUCUGACAGCUCAUUCCACCACGGCACUGCGCUAUAGUUUCCCUUGGCUGAGGGAAACACUGUCUCACCCCCCUCCUCUACAUCUGACCUGCACAGUAGCUAAACAGCGUUAAAAAAAAAAGAAAAAAGAAAAAGAACACAACAGCAACAUCUUGUUGGAGUCCAAAGUCUAUUCAGUUACAUACAGGUACAUGAGAACAGUGGCAAUCCGCUGCCCUCCGUUCCUAGUGUUAUACUCAUCCAUAAAGUAGUCAUAGUGAGGCUCGUACUUUUGCCCUAUUUCAUAGUGCAGAACUUGAAGACCUUCCCCAUGCUCUGCACAUUGUAAGAACCAGUCAAGCAUAUGCUCCACAAAGAGCUGACCCUAAGGAGAAAUGGGAUUUUAAGAAAAGGUAAAAAUAAUAAAGUCUUUCAAGCACAUACCAACUGGUAUGAAGGUAAAAUCUGAUAUCCUUUUCUCGAUUUGACGGAUGAUUUUGUCGCGUCCUCUUGGAAGAAAAGUCCCAGAGCUCGUUCUCACCCUAUUGAGGAGAAGUGGAUGUCAGUAAAAGAGAGGAGGAAAGAAGCCUACUGAUGAUUCACUUGAUAGUUGAAGGAAGACCUGCUAUCUGUGCUCUUUCCAGUCUUCUGAUCGACAACAGUUGACUUCUCCAUAUGCGGUUUAGCUAGCUCUAUUAGAUACUUGCAUUCCUCCUUCGUCUAUCGUGAAUAAUAAUUAACACACGUCCCUAGUCAGUUAGCACACACUAACAACAACUAAUGAAAAUCACUUCCCUAGUUUUACUUUUUCUUUCAAAUCACAGCUAGUGAUCAUAAUAUCACCUACUCUACGGAAUCAAUUGUUGAUAUCUACUGAAAAAAAACAGAUUCGCUCACCAAGAAAUUGUGGUAAAUAGAAGCUCUGGGUUCCCAAGAUAUAAUUUCAACCCAACGCUCAUUCUCCGAAGCAUCUUUGCCGCUUCUGCGGAAUAAAAAGAAUACCAAAGAUGAUGAUAAAUAAACACGCCAGAUCUUAUAUUUGAAUCGGGAUUUUUUUUGGUACCUCUGAAGGUUUUUACGGACAAUGGAAGUGAGAUCAUUGGCCUUGGAUGACCCGCCAUUGUUGCUGGGCAGCGAGAGAAUUCCAAGCGCGAGAAGGAACAAAAUCACGAAAGUGAACAUAAUCAACACCGCGAAGACGAGGGUUGAGUACGACGUUUUCCGACGGUGAUGAUUCCUCUGUCGCGCCAUCAUUUUUGCAAAGGAUCGAUUUCUCAGAUCCGAAAGAAGCAGAGAGGAGCAGCAGUAAGCAAAUCCUCUGCGUAGGAGAGAUUAAACAAACAAACCGGAUGACGGAAGAGGCUUUACAUAGACGGGCCUCAGGCCCAUUUAAUUAGGCCCAAUAAGGGAAGGUGCUUUUCGAAUGAAUGGCAAAAAUAAUCGUCUUCAUCCCCAGAGAGAGAAUCCGAUAAGGCGAGAGAGAGAGAGAGAGAGAAUGCAGCUCGCCACCACCAUUUCUCUACUCCUGCCAUCUCCAUCUCGACUCUCUCCUUCUCUUCAGUCGCUGACUAUCCCCAGGAGAUCAAGCUCUGUCUCAUACUCUUCACAAACGUCGAUUCUCCCGGAUGCCGCCGAUGACUUCACCGUGGGAGACUGUCUCGUCUACGAGGACGGCGUCUUCGAAGACCCUUACCUCGAGGAGGAGGUCAGUCUCGAAGCGGUCAAAGAGCGGAAGAGUCCGAGGCGGCGGGGCAGGGGAAAGAGAAUAGUUCAAGCGGCGGCGGCGGCGGAGAUCGAGCCGGAGAACCUCGUGCCGGAUGAGUGGAGGGAUGUUCAGGCGGAGGUGAACCUGACGAAGAAGGACAAGAGGAAAAUAGCGCAGGAGCUGGAGUUCGGAGUGAGUGUGGAGAAGAAGAGGCAAGGGCUGAUUCCGCUGAGGAAGGUGGAUUUGAAGGAGUAUUUAACGUACAAGGAAGCCAAGCUGGAUCAGUUGAAACCUGUUGUUCUCGAUAAACCGACGACGUUUGAUGGAGAGGGAGGAGAGAGGGGUGAAGAAACGUAUUCGAGUGAGCGAGUAGCACCGAAGAACCCUAGAUGGGCGGUUUAUGGAAAAGGAUUCGAACAAGUCACCAAGUUCUUCAAUAGCGAUAAGUAUGAUCCCAGUGGCAAGAAGCUCGACGGCCCUCGGAAGCUGCUUUCUAAAGAAGAGAAGUUUAUGCUCAAUAGCCGAAAUCCUCACCUAGCUGUUGCCACCUCAGUAAGUGAUUUUUUCUUUUUUUUUUACUAUUUGAUUUUUGAGUUCUGUUUUAAGUUUGAACCAGCAGUAACCUAAUGUUGGUUGUGUUUUUCAGAAAAAGUGGCUUCCUCUUCACACACUGGCAGCUUCGGGAGAAUUUUAUCUGGUUGACUCCUUGCUUAAGCACAAUCUUGAUAUCAAUGCAACGGACGUGGUAUGUGGAUUUUUAUCUGAAUCUUUUGCUCUUUUUGUAUAUAAUCUAGUAGUGUUUUUUUUAAUAUAAUUUGUAUAUGGAAUCUAGGGCGGCUUGACAGCACUUCACCGAGCAAUAAUAGGUAAAAAACAGGCGAUUACAAACUACCUGCUGAGGGAAUCGGCAAACCCGUUUGUUCUUGAUGAUGUAAGUGGUCGGUCACCUUGUAAUAAUCUCUCUCCCUUGCUUCAGAUGCUGCUGCGAUCUGAUUAGUUCGUUUAUGUGUUAGGAAGGUGCGACUUUGAUGCACUAUGCUGUGCAGACAGCAUCAGCUCCCACAAUAAAACUUCUCCUGCUGUAUAACGCUGACAUAAACGCGCAAGACAGGGUAAUGAUGUUAAAACAUUCUUAUAUUAGCGAAUCUGUCAGCUGGUUGGUUAACACAUUGUUUUUUCUUUUAAAUUUCAGGACGGGUGGACGCCCCUGCACGUUGCAGUACAGGCCAGAAGAAGCGACAUCGUGAAACUUCUUUUGAUAAAAGGGGCUGACAUACAAGUGAAGAACAAGGCUAGUUCCAUCACCUUCCCACUAGUCCGCUUUUGUAUUAUUAUCGUUAUUAUGAUUCUGAUGAUGCCGUUUUUUUUUGACUAAUUCCAACAGGAUGGGUUAACUCCGCUGGGCCUUUGCCUCUACCUUGGAAGAGAGACAAGGACGUAUGAAGUGUUGAAAAUGUUGAAAGAGUUUCCCCGUAGUAGACUCAAGAGAUUGGUAACGGAUUAAGCUUUACUGGACCACGCUCUCACAUUUUGGUCGGUGUUUUUCUUUUGCGUUUGUUUUCGCACCGGAAAUUAACAAAGCCGAAAUCAUAUUUACCCAAAAGAAUAUUACUACCUGUAUAAUAUGUAUAAUAUUAAUACUAGAUUUUGAUCCAGGCUUUCAAAACGCAUAAUUUUUUGUUGUUGAAUUAACCCAUCUGGUUUUUCUCUAAUAUGUUUAUACAUAGAUGUUUGAUGUUC